rnacentral:tRNA from 1 species
GAUGUAGCUCAGUUGGUAGAGUGCUUGCCUCACAUGCACAAGGCCCUGGGUUCAAUCCCAGCGUC